GCAUAUCAAUAAGCGGAUUUCCCCCUAGUAACUGCGAGUGAAGCGGGAAAAGCUCAAAUUUAAAAUCUGGCAGUCUUUGGCUGUCCGAGUUGUAAUCUAGAGAAGUGUUACCCGCGUCGGACCGUGUAUAAGUCUCCUGGAAUGGAGCGUCAUAGAGGGUGAGAAUCCCGUCUUUGACACGGACUACCGAGGCUUUUGUGGUGCGCUCUCAACGAGUCGAGUUGUUUGGGAAUGCAGCUCAAAAUGGGUGGUAAAUUCCAUCUAAAGCUAAAUAUUGGCGAGAGACCGAUAGCGAACAAGUACCGUGAGGGAAAGAUGAAAAGAACUUUGGAAAGAGAGUUAAACAGUACGUGAAAUUGCUGAAAGGGAAACGCUUGAAGUCAGUCGCGUUGGCCGGAAAUCAACCUUGCUUCUGCUGGGUGUACUUUCUGGUUAACGGGCCAGCAUCAGUUUUGACCGGUGGAAAAAGUCCAAGGGAAUGUGGCAUCUUUGGAUGUGUUAUAGCCCUUGGUCGUAUACACCGGUUGGGACUGAGGAAUUCAGCACGCCGCAAGGCCGGGUCUUUGACCACGUUCGUGCUUAGGAUGCUGGCAUAAUGGCUUUAAUCGACCCGUCUUGAAACACGGACCAAGGAGUCUAACAUGCCUGCGAGUGUUUGGGUGGAAAACCCGAGCGCGUAAUGAAAGUGAAAGUUGGGAUCCUUGUCAUGGGGAGCACCGACGCCCGGACCAGACGUACUCUGACGGCUCCGCGGUAAAGCAUGUAUGUUGGGACCCGAAAGAUGGUGAACUAUGCCUGAAUAGGGUGAAGCCAGAGGAAACUCUGGUGGAGGCUCGUAGCGAUUCUGGACGUGCAAAUCGAUCGUCGAAAUUUGGGUAUAGGGCGAAAGACUAAUCGACCG
rnacentral:rRNA from 1 species